UCUAGUUGAUCCUGCUAGAGGGCACUGCUAUCGGUUUUGGGAAUAAGACAUGCAAGUUGAACGCUUCAGCAUCUUGAAGCGUAGCGAACGGCUCAGUAUGGCUGUUAACCUACCCUAUGGACCAGAACAACCUCGGGAAACUGAGAUUAAUUCUGGAUAGAUGCGGUUCUCUGGAACUGAUUCCGCAUUCAAAUGGAUACCCUAAGUAUGCUGGGUACUCGCCGUAGGAUGGGACAGUCGCAGAUCAUGGUUGGCGGAAGGGUAAAUGCCUUUCGUGCCUGUGACCUGGACGGGCGAUGUAAGUCGUGGCCCGGAGAAGGGAACUGAGACAAGGUCCCUAGCCCCACGGGGCGCAGCAGUUACGAAACCUCACCAAUGCGCGAAAGCGUGAGUGGGCCAAGCCGAGUGAUGGGAGAUAAUUCCAUCUGUGGCGGAACCGUAGUUAGGUCCGCUAGAAAGGAGAGGGCAAGGCUGGUGCCAGCCGCCGCGGUAAAACCAGCUCUUCGAGUGGUGUCCAUGAUUAUUGAGCUUAAAGCGUUCGUAGCCUGUUUGGUAGGUUCCUGCUUAAAUCCAGCCGCUUAACGGUUGGACUGGUAGGAAUACCGCCUUACUUGGGGACGGGAGACGGCGACGGUAUUCCACAGGUAAGGGUGAAAUCUAAUGAUCUGUGGAGGACCACCAGUGGCGAAGGCGGUCGUCGAGAACGUGCCCGACGGUGAGGGACGAAACCCAGGGGAGCAAAUCGGAUUAGAUACCCGAGUAGUCCUGGGCGUAAACGAUGCCCGUUAAGUGUUGCAUUGGCCACGAGCCACUGCAGUGCUGUAGCGAAAGCGAUAAACGGGCCGCUUGGGAAGUACGGUCGCAAGACUGAAACUUAAAGGAAUUGGCGGGGGGGCACCACAAGGGGUGGAGCUUGCGGUUUAAUUGGACAACGCCGGAAAUCUUACCCGCCCAGACAGCCGAAUGAGAGCCAGACUGAUGAUCUUGCUCGACGAGCUGAGAGCUGGUGCAUGGCCAUCGUAAAUUCGUGCCGUGAGGUAUCAGCUUAAGUGCUGCAACGAAUGAGAUCCCUGCCACCUAGUUGCCAGCCGGGGGCUUCGGCCCUGUCGGGGCACACUAGGGGGACCGCCAGCGAGAAGCUGGAGGAAGGUGGGGGCCACGGUAGGUCAGUAUGCCGCGAUAUGGGCGGGGCCACACGCGUGCUACAAUGGCUGGGACAAUGCGUUACAACACCGAAAGGUGAAGUCAAUCGCGAAACCCAGUCGUAGUUGGAAUCGGGGGUUGGAACUCACCCCCGUGAACCUGGAAUCCCUAGUAUCCGCGUGUCACUAUCGCGCGGAGAAUACGUCCCUGCUUCUUGCACACACCGCCCGUCGCUCCAUGCGAGCGGAUUUGGGGUGAGGCACCAUCCACUGGGUGGUGACGAAUAUUGGGUUCGCAAGUAGGGAGAAGUCGUAACAAGGUA
rnacentral:rRNA from 1 species